CCCAAAGCCGCAGGAGAGCAGAGCACAACCCUUGUCCAUAGUCACACAACCCACCCUUUGCGAAGAUGUAUAACGCUCCGUCGGGGCAGGAGAUGUCCUACACGGACCAUGUGCAGAAGCGCCACGAGGAGAAGGGCUGCAUCUACGCAUGCGUGUUCACGGCGUUGUGCUGCUUCUGCUGCUACGAGACGUGCGAGUGCUGCCUCGACUGCCUCUGCUGCUGCUGCAACUAAACCAGCCAUGGUCACCAUGGACGGACGGACGGACGGAGAAAGGUGCAGCGCGACAUCGACCGGCCUCCACUACUGUUAAUUAUCCCAAAACCAAAAUUACAAUUUCGUAAUAAGCUAGCUCUGAUGAGAACUGUAUCAGGUACCGCAUAAUAUUAUCUCCACCAGACAAGACUAUCACUAUAAUCACCAUCCAUCAUGGUUUGUGUUGCAUCUUAUUUUAAUUAGCAUCAGAUUCUGGUCCUCACCUGCCCACUGCGCUUUUCCUUUGACACUUUGCUUUGUCUCCCUGUAAUUAUCUGAAGACUGAAAUGAACAUUUCAUUAAAUAAAAUUAUGUGACUGAAA